GAAUUUCUUGACGACCAUAGAGCAUUGGAACCACCUGAUCCCAUCCCGAACUCAGCAGUGAAACGAUGCAUCGCCGAUGGUAGUGUGGGGUUUCCCCAUGUGAGAGUAGGUCAUCGUCAAGA
rnacentral:rRNA from 1 species